UUUAGCAUUUACUCAUUUCGAGGAGCUCACUCCCUCAGUCCGGUAGGCUCUGAUAUCAGGACGAUACGAUACGAUGGCGGCACGUCAAGCAGCGAACUUAUCUCGAUUCUCCGCUUCCAAAUCAGUUAGUACAACGAAGCAAGGCGCCUUACUUAUCCAGCGGCGUGGUCUCGCCGGCGGUGGUGAUCAUCAUGGACCUCCGAAGGUGAACUUUUGGCAGGAUCCGAUGAGUCCAUCAAAAUGGAAAGAAGAGCACUUUGUGAUCGUCUCUCUUACUGGUUGGGGGUUGGCCUUCUACGGAGGUUAUAAGCUCUUCACAAAGGGAAACAAAGAGAAGAAGGAAGAGAAAGUUGGUGAAGGAUCCCACUAACAUUGGAUGCGUCUAGGAUCUCCUUGAAUAAAUCCGCUGCUUGGGCUAUGUGGUCUUAAAUUUUUGCCAUGAGUUUUGCAUGGUUUCCCCCCAUUUCCUCCAUUUCUCUUAUUGGACUGAAUUGCACAUGAAAUGCUGGACAAUUAGCUAUGUAUUUUUUUUUUACUUGUAGACUGUCGGUCUAUUUAGAAACUCUCUGCUUACUGCUUACUGAGACUCUGGUGUUUCUUUCUUUUGAAACAAAUUUAGUUACGUAUUCAGUUGCAUAAUGACUAUGAGUAUGUCGAGAGACGAGCAACAGGUUUUUUUUCAUUCCAUUUCUUUUGUCAUUUUAACAAAUUUGAAUGUGUAGACCUGGUUUGAUGGAGCUUAAUGAACCAAGUACACCACGAUGCGUGGUGGUCCUUUUUGGCAUGAUAGUAGCUCAACAGCUGGGAAUAAAGAAUCUUGGAGCUUCAUAGAUCCAGCAAAGCUCAUUUGCUUCAUCAAGCUGUUUCCUUUCAUGCUUGUUAGACUUUGGGAGGUGUAUUCAUACAAUUCUAGCUAUAUUGAAGGAGAAAACUGACAGAAAACUUAAAAUGAGGCGCUGGUAUUAUGUGAUAUGUUGGUGGAAAUAUGGAACGCUUUUAGCUGUGGUUUAUGCACAAGGUUAAGCUUUACAACGUUUAGAAAUGUACAAGAUUCGCUUUAUUGCUUCUGCUGUCAGAGAGAAAAGGCAAAAUCUGAAGUGGUAGCAACCUAUGAAUGUGGUUCCAUCCAACUUUCAUAACUCAUUCCGUGCAAGCAAAUGUACCUUGCUUAACUUGAGAAAAUAUAUUGUACAGAAAAGUAGUAGUACUAUUUUAUGCACAAGGUUAAGCUUUACAACGUUGUAGUAGUACUAUGCUACAUACACUUCCUCAUAUGUAUAGCAUAAAGGUUUCGUAA